AAUAAUUAAUCACUUUUUAUUCAAAUGCUCUAGAAGGAUUGUUAUCUCUUCCUUCUCAGUGGAUCUCACAACGUGAUCUUUCCUUCUAAUACAGUGUUUGGGAACAGAACAAUUAAGAAUGGACAGAGGAAUACCAUGUGCUGACUGACGAACGCCUGGGUUUCUGAACCAAUUGCCAUCAAGGGGAUUGGGAUUACCAUAAUUUUUGCUGAGACUAAGCCCCACCCCAGUAACCAAAGGCUUAUGGGUGGAAUGCAAGCUAUUGGAAGUAUUUGAAGAUGUGACCAAGGAAGCUAUGAGAAUUGGAAAUGAGGCAGUUGUUUAGAAACGGGCUGAUGUGCUUGUGGUAAGGUGGAAGGAGGAAGGCAGAUGAGGAAAGGAAUGUGCAACUGAAUCAAUUAGCUGUUACUAUGUAACAAACCAUCCCAAAACGCAGUGACAUAAAA
rnacentral:lncRNA from 1 species